AAAUAACGUAAUAAACUGAAUUUAUCUAAAAACCAAGAGUGUAAUAAGACUAAUGCUCAGCAAAUUACUAUCAAAACGGUGAAUUUGGAUACAUGCAGCAGAACUCCUCCUUCUUCCUCAACAGAAUCCAGGUAAAAGAAUAAAAACCAUAAACUUAAAAAGAUUCAGAUUCUCAUCCAAGAACUUACAGCUCUCACUGCUCAUUUCACUUUCUUACAGCAAUCCCUGGCCCUAAAAAAUCUCAAUCCCAUAUUCUUUUUUCUUUUUUGGAAAAAAGAA
rnacentral:lncRNA from 1 species